CGAGAUGUAGCUUAACAAAGCAUUCAGCUUACACCUGAAAGAUAUCUGAUAACACCAGAUCGUCUCGA
rnacentral:tRNA from 1 species